AGACGAACCGUACAAACGUUAUUCGGAAUCACUGGGCUUAAAGGGUGCGUAGGCGGCAUGGCAAGUUGGGUGUGAAAUCCCUCGGCUCAACCGAGGAAUAGCGCCCAAAACUGCUUUGCUUGAGGGAGAUAGAGGUGAGCGGAACUACGGGUGGAGCGGUGAAAUGCGUUGAUAUCCGUAGGAACACCGGUGGCGAAAGCGGCUUACUGGGUCUCUUCUGACGCUGAGGCACGAAAGCUAGGGUAGCGAACGGUAUUAGAAACCCCAGUAGUCC
rnacentral:rRNA from 1 species